UAAAUCAUAUACCGAAACCACGGGUCCCGCUCUGCGGGAUGGUAGGAGAGCAUAAUCAGUGCUGUGAAGCUAAACUGUAAAGGAUAGUGGAGCGCUGAUUAGUGAGAAUGCAGACAUGAGUAGCGAUAAGCCAGAUGAGAAUUCUGGCCACCGUAAACCCAAGGAUUCCUGGGCCAGGUUCGUCCUCCCAGGGUUAGUCGGGAGCUAAGGCGAGGCCGUAAGGCGUAGUCGAUGCACAGCAGUUUAAUAUUCCUGCACCGGCAAAGGUUAAGGUAAUGAUGACGUGAAUGGAAAG
rnacentral:rRNA from 1 species